rnacentral:RNase_P_RNA from 1 species
AACGGUGGCCGUUCUGUCGCUGCCUCCCCGUGGGAGGGAGAGGAAAGUCCGGGCAACACAGAGCACCAUGCUUCUUAACAGGAAGGGGCUCCGCAAGGAGUCACAGACAGGGCCACAGAAAACAACCGCCUGAGCAAUCAGGUAAGGGUGAAAACGCGAGGUAAGAGCUCACGACGUCGGUAGUGAUAUUCGACGGGGGUAAACCUCAUGGGUUGAAAAACCAAAUAAACCGGGGCUUGAGGGUGGCUCGCCCGAUCCCGGAGGGUAGGUCGAUGGAGCAUUGCGGCAACGCAAUGCCUAGAUAAAUGACAGAAGAUUACAGAACCCGGCUUACAGGUCACCGUUAUUU